AUUGAACGCUGGCGGCAUGCUUUACACAUGCAAGUCGAGCGGCAGCGCGGGGGCAACCCUGGCGGCGAGCGGCGAACGGGUGAGUAAUGCAUCGGAACGUAUCCUCGAGUGGGGGAUAACCCAGCGAAAGUUGGGCUAAUACCGCCUGAGCUCUGAGGAGGAAAGCGGGGGACCUGCGAGGGCCUCGCGCUGGAGGAGCGGCCGAUGUCCGAUUAGCUAGUUGGUGGGGUAAAGGCUUACCAAGGCGACGAUCGGUAGCUGGUCUGAGAGGAUGAUCAGCCACACUGGGACUGAGACACGGCCCAGACUCCUACGGGAGGCAGCAGUGGGGAAUUUUGGACAAUGGGGGCAACCCUGAUCCAGCCAUGCCGCGUGAGUGAAGAAGGCCUUCGGGUUGUAAAGCUCUUUCGGACGGAACGAAAUGGGCGGGACUAAUACUCCUGUCUGAUGACGGUACCGUAAGAAGAAGCACCGGCUAACUACGUG
rnacentral:rRNA from 1 species